UUUGGUGAUGAUGGCGGAAGGGAACACGCGUACCCAUCCCGACACGAACGUUAAGCCUUCCAGCGUCCAAUGGUACUUGGACCGCAGGGUCCUGGGAGAGUAGAACGUCGCCAAGC
rnacentral:rRNA from 1 species